AUCCUUUUGUAGUUCAUGAACAUGGCUGGGUGUUACGUGCGUGUGUGCAACGUGCCGCCCUCCAGCCGUGUUAUGAUGUUGACACAUUACCCAUCUGACA